rnacentral:lncRNA from 1 species
UAAAUGACCGCGAUCCUGCUCCACCUCCUGCAGCAGAUAUCGCAUGAUUCUCCCAUCCACUGGCAAGACGCCGCAGCAUCUGCAUCCCACUUCCCACGGCAGAUUCCAUGUGGCACGCCCCAGUGAUGGCCACGGCUCCGCUCCACUACUCUUCGCAGUAGAUUCCUCCUGACUAAGGGCGGCCCACUACCUGGCGGUUACAAACGUCGCCA